CCUACGGGUGGCAGCAGUGGGGAAUAUUGGACAAUGGGCGAAAGCCUGAUCCAGCCAUGCCGCGUGUGUGAAGAAGGCCUUCGGGUUGUAAAGCACUUUCAGUGGGGAAGAAAGCCUUGGGGCUAAUACCCUCGAGGAAGGACAUCACCCACAGAAGAAGCACCGGCUAACUCCGUGCACAGCAGCCGCGGUAAUACGGAGGGUGCGAGCGUUAAUCGGAAUUACUGGGCGUAAAGCGCGCGUAGGCGGUCUGAUAAGCCGGUUGUGAAAGCCCCGGGCUCAACCUGGGAACGGCAUCCGGAACUGUCAGGCUAGAGUGCAGGAGAGGAAGGUAGAAUUCCCGGUGUAGCGGUGAAAUGCGUAGAGAUCGGGAGGAAUACCAGUGGCGAAGGCGGCCUUCUGGACUGACACUGACGCUGAGGUGCGAAAGCGUGGGUAGCAAACAGGAUUAGAUACCCCAGUAGUC
rnacentral:rRNA from 1 species